AUCCUAUACCAUAAACUGCACAAAUCCAGGCUUGGAAUGAGAGCCCCCAUCCCGAAACCAGUACUAGGAUGUGAUUAAAAAAAAUAUUCUGCCUUCAAGAGCUGCCACCAUGCUUCUAUCAAAGAAAUAAGCAAAGGGGGACUGAGAACAACAGCAAGGAUGACACGUGAUUCAAGGGACAGCCUGUCAGCAGAGCAGACCUGCAGUCUGAGGGGUUCCUGUGCCGAGGGCUGUGUGUAAGGCGCUCAGUGCACGUGGCACCCAGAGACCGGACAAAGAAAGCCGCUUGUGCCACCGCAGCAGCCGUGCUGAGCCCUUCUGCGCUGCCAGUGAGUGACAACGCCACAGGAGAAGCCUGA
rnacentral:lncRNA from 1 species